rnacentral:lncRNA from 1 species
CUGUAGACAUAUGGUGGUGGAGGAGAUUUGUAGUCAACCUUAGGGGAAGGUGAGUAGUAUGGUGGUGGAGGAGAUUUGUAGUCAACCUUAGGGGAAGGUGAGUAGUAUGGUGGUGGUGGUGAACUAUAGACGUAUGGUGGUGGUGGAGAUUUGUAAUCUACCUUAGGGGCAGGUGAGUAGUAUGGUGGUGGGGGUGAGCUGUAGACAUACGGUGGUGGGGGAGAUUUGUAGUCUACCUUCGGGGAAGGUGAGUAGUAUGGUGGUGGUGGUGAGCUAUAGACGUACGGUGGUGGAGGAGAUUUGUAGUCUACUUUAGGGGAAGGUGAGUAGUAUGGUGGUGGUGGUGAGCUGUAGACGUACGGUGGUGGGGGAGAUUUGUAGUCUACCUUAGGGGAAGGUGAGUAGUAUGGUGGUGGUGGUGAGCUGUAGACGUACGGUGGUGGGGGAGACUUGUAAACUACUUUAGGAGAAGGAGAGUAGUAUGGUGGUGGUGGUGAGCUGUAGACGUACGGUGGUGGGGGAGACUUGUAGACUACCUUAGGAGAAGGAGAGUAGUAUGGUGGUGGUGGAGAACUGUAGACAUACGGUGGUGGAGGAGACUUGUAGACUACCUUAGGAGAAGGAGAAUAAUAUGGUGGUGGUGGAGAACUGUAAACGUAUGGUGGUGGGGGAGACUUGUAGACUACCUUAGGAGAAGGAGAGUAGUAUGGUGGUGGUGGAGAACUGUAGACAUACGGUGGUGGGGGAGACUUGUAGACUACCUUAGGAGAAGGAGAAUAGUAUGGAGGUGGUGGAGAACUGUAAACAUACGGUGGUGGGGGAGACUUGUAGACUACCUUAGGAGAAGGAGAGUAGUAUGGUGGUGGUGGAGAACUAUAGACAUACGGUGGUGGGGGAGACUUGUAGUGUACCUUAGGGGAAGGAGAGUAAUAUGGUGGUGGUGGAGAACUGUAGACAUACGGUGGUGGGGGAGACUUGUAGUGUACCUUAGGAGAAGGAGAGUGAUAUGGUGGUGGUGGAGAACUGUAAACGUACGGUGGUGGGGAGGACUUGUACACAACCUUUGGAGAUGGAGAAUAACAUGGAGGAGGUGGUGGACAGACACAUACAUGAGGGUGUGGUGGAGAUUUGUAUAGAACCUUAGGGGAUGGUGCGUGGUAUGGUGAUGGAGGAGACUUGUAGUAUACUUUAGGAGAAGGGGAGUAGUAUGGUGGUGGUGGAGAACUGUAAACGUAUGGUGGUGGGGGAGACUUGUAGACUACCUUAGGAGAAGGAGAGUAGUAUGGUGGUGGUGGAGAACUGUAGACAUACGGUGGUGGGGGAGACUUGUAGACUACCUUAGGAGAAGGAGAGUAGUAUGGAGGUGGUGGAGAACUGUAAACAUACGGUGGUGGGGGAGACUUGUAGACUACCUUAGGAGAAGGAGAGUAGUAUGGUGGUGGUGGAGAACUGUAGACAUACGGUGGUGGGGGAGACUUGUAUAAAACCUUUGGUGAAGGAGAGUAGUACGGUGGUGGUGGAGAACUGUAAACAUAUGGUGGUGGAGGAGACUUGUAGUCUACCUUAGGGGAUGGUGAAUAGUAUGGUGGUGGAGGAGAACUGUAAACAUAUGGUGGAGGAGGAGAUUUGUAUACAACCUUUGGAGAUGGCGAGUAGUAUGGUGGUGGAGGAGAACUGUAAACAUAUGGUGGAGGAGGAGAUUUGUAGUCUACCUUAGGGGAUGGUGAG